AUAUCCAAUACCUAAACCCAAACCGAGCAACGGAGCCAACGCCAAAACCCUCCCGCCCAAUCUGCCAUUCCCCUAACUCCAAUGGAAUCCUAGCAACCUAACUCCAUGCAUCAGAUCGUUCCAGAAAUCUCCACAGCACGAGACCUGGUUCCUUGAUCCGACGACCCGCGAAAGCAACUCGACUGGAACUUCUUCGUCCGGUGACGACACGGUGGAAAACUUGUGUGGUUUGGUUCGUCUUCUUUCCAUAGUUUCACUUCCAGCCUCGGUUGGUCCAGUCGCUGAGUGUAGAGAGAGAAUCGAAGCUAACAAGUUUUAUGUUUUCCGACGUUUCUUCGACGUCUUCUGGUGGAUCGAUCUGCUCUGCUCUGCUUUGUAGUUUUGUAUUUGAUUGGUGGAACCGAUCUUAACAAUUGAAGUUGAACUAGUGAGUUACGAGGAGAUUGUGAUACAGAACGAUUCGUGACCAUGUUUGGCUACUGGGGAAAGUCUCAUCAUCACAAGAAUGAUUCAUUGCAGCCUGAGGUGAAGUUCAACGAGCUAAAGGCUGCAAUUGGACCACUAUCGGGCCGUAUUUUGCAGUUCUGUACUGAUGCGUGCUUUAGGAGGUACUUGGAUGCAUGGAAGGGAAUAUUGUAGACAAGUUGGAAGAAACACUCAAAUGGAGGUCGACUUAUAAGCCUGAGGAAAUUAGUUGGCCUGAAGUUGCAGUUGAAGGUGAGACUGGAAAAGUUUAUAGAGCAAAUUUUUGUGACCGUCAUGGGAGAACUGUUCUGAUAUUGAGACCAGAAAUGCAGGUAGAGUGGAUUUUUAUCAAAUUCAUAUUACUAUUGCCUUUGGCUUUCAUUACUUAAGCUGAAGAUUGAUGCUUAAGAACAGCAACAUGCACAUUGCCCUUCUCCUAAGUAGCACCGAUACGGGUACGAGUAUUCGGAUACGAUACGGUGCGAUACGUGGAAAUGGCAAAUCUUAAAUGUAAUAGGAUACGGGUACGUGAAGGAUACGUAAAUUAA